rnacentral:rRNA from 1 species
AUUGAACGCUGGCGGCAGGCCUAACACAUGCAAGUCGAACGGUAACAGGAAGAAGAUUGCUUCUUUGCUGACGAGUGGCGGACGGGUGAGUAAUGUCUGGGAAACUGCCUGAUGGAGGGGGAUAACUACUGGAAACGGUAGCUAAUACCGCAUAACGUCGCAAGACCAAAAAGGGGGACCUUCGGGCCUCUUGCCAUCGGAUGUGCCCAGAUGGGAUUAGCUAGUAGGUGGGGUAACGGCUCACCUAGGCGACGAUCCCUAGCUGGUCUGAGAGGAUGACCAGCCACACUGGAACUGAGACACGGUCCAGACUCCUACGGGAGGCAGCAGUGGGGAAUAUUGCACAAUGGGCGCAAGCCUGAUGCAGCCAUGCCGCGUGUAUGAAGAAGGCCUUCGGGUUGUAAAGUACUUUCAGCGGGGAGGAAGGGAGUAAAGUUAAUACCUUUGCUCAUUGACGUUACCCGCAGAAGAAGCACCGGCUAACUCCGUG